UUAACAGUAGAAAAGGAAAUGAUUAGUGGCCAAGAAUUGUUGAAAUCCAUAGAAACAAAUCACAAGUUGCUUUACUACUAAAUUUUGUUUGUUUGUCCCAUUAUGGAAUAUGUAAAUACAUAUCUAAGCAAAUAAGUAAAAUCCAUCUUUAACGCCCAUCAAAAACUAAUCAACACCCAAUAACCGUAUGACCCCGUAACACCGAUUCUAAUUAGAAGUUGGCUUUUUGGCCAUAAGGCCAAUUCGAUUACCGCAUGAAUGUUUCCUUUUUUCUUGCUUUUGCUCUUGGUUUAAAUUGAAGAAAGAGCACAUUUCUGAUAGGUUUUCAAUUGAAGUGGAAAAUUAAAGGAUACUGCAUAAUUUUUGUGGAUUUUCGAGCUUAAGGAAACCCAGAUUUGUCAAAACAAUGCUUGCGAAAACAUUUAUCCACUGCACUCAAAUUUAAAGUAAAUCCCACAAAAAUAUGUUAAGCGACCUCGUUUUUCUGCUCCGCAUAAUUUAAUUAAAUCAAAGCCCAUGGGGGGAUAUGGAAAAAGGAAAAUGGGGAAAACUAUUUCCCCUAAAGAGAGAACAACACAACACAACGGCUGACUUUUAAAAUCCGCUCAAAUUUAAUUAAAAAAAUAUAACCCAGUCAGAGAAGUACAAAUAGACGCGCUCAAUCAAUUGGGCUACAGCCACAGACAAAUAAGCCCCGCAGUGGAACACCAUAUACAUAUACAUAUAUAUGUUUUUUACUAUUUCUAUAGAUAUACUAUGUACAGAAAUAAACUGAAGC
rnacentral:sRNA from 1 species